CAAAAAAACAACAUGGCGGAUGCAAGCAAAUCUGACCUGGAAACCAAUGUUUUCGACGACAUUCUUACAAAACUAGAGUCAAAUGAAUAUUACGAACAAAUAAAAACUCAUUUAUAUAGUAUUUCAAAUACUACUGAAAAUGUUAAGGAUAUAGAUCUUGCUGAGAGAUUUUUAUCUUGGGCAAAAUCAGACAGCAAUCUGAAAGUUGUAUCUGUAGAUGUGCCCGCAAGAAUUCUACCAAAUGAUUAUGAAGGCAAGCUACAUGAUGUGAAAGUAUUUGUCAAGUUUGGACCCGAUGAUUCUGUAUAUGAUAACAACAAAGAUAUAAGAGAAAGGAUAGCAAGAGGUAAUAGUUUCCUAGAGUUAACAAACAAGGUAGCACGGACAUUUUGUGUUCUACAGGCAAUGAAGAAGUUCACAGGUGGGCUGGGUGAUGAUGAUGAUAGAGAGUCAGGAGAUGAUCUAAUCUGGCAGAAAUAUUUCACAAAGCCACUAGAAGAAACAGACAUUGUCAUAGCAACCAAUAAAGCUAAUGGGGAGGCAGCACAUCUUAGUUGUAUAGAAAUUGAUGGACAAUUCAUUUUAUGUGGCGGGUCAAAAAAUGUCCAUUUAUUGUUUAGAAAUAAAUCUGAUAUAAACAGAUAUGUAGAACCCAGGUAUAGAAUAGCAACUGAAGUGUGUCAUACAGUGAUGGAGGCUUUAGAUGAAAUGACUGAAGAAGACAGACACAGAUUGAUGAACUUUCUGGUUACUAGUCAUUACACAGCUGUAUUUGAAAUACUGUCUCCACAUCAUCAACAUGUUGUCAAUCUUUCUCAUCUUAAAAGGCCAGCACUUAAGUUCAUAUCUUGGACAAAAUGUGAAUUGGAGGCUUCGGAAAAAUUACAUCAUUUAAAUAUAGUACCUCCACAUGUCGGUAUAGAGAUUGCCAAAUGUCUAGGACUGGAUCCGGUCACUUAUGAGAAAGUACAGGUGACAGAACUAGAUCUAUUUAUGAAACAGAUUCGAAAAGGAUUUGACUCGGAGGGAAAGGUGCUGUAUUUUCUAGACAGUGAUGGUCAGGUGAUAGGAUUGCUCAAAAAGAAAACAACAUGGUAUAUAAUGUGUAGAGCUGUCAGAGAGAAAGUGAAAACAGCUGUCAAUCAAUCAAUAAAAAAUCCUCAGAAAUACUCCAAAGGUAGAUCACUAAAUCAGAGAAGAGAAUCGGAGAAAUCCAGAAAUGGCUUCAUCUAGAUAAUGCAACUGUUACAUCCUGGAAGGAACUUGGUACAAACUGUUUGAAAUGGGUUCUACAUGAAGUAGAUGAUGGGAAGUUGUCACCAGAAGAAGUGAGAGACAUGUUCCCUGUUUAUUGGGAUAGGUUUUUACAAGAGACAGGUGCCACAGACAGGAUCAUUGUUG
rnacentral:misc_RNA from 1 species